UGGGUAUGAGGAGUACACAUUUGAUCCAGGAGGGGGAGGAGGGUAAGCAGCAUAAGCAGGAGGUGGAGGAGGACCCCAAGGAACUGGAGCAACAAUGUAAGUUCCAGGUGGUCCAGUACCAGGUGGAGCACCUGAUUGCAUUUGUGGAGGUGGAUAUCCAUUAUAUCCCUGGUUUUGACCAGGGUAAGCAGAAACAGGUGGAGCAGGAGGUCCAGGGGGUACAACGGGUGGAGGUGGUUUUCCUGCCACUCUAACAGCAAUUACUCUUCCAUCUACGCGUUGACCAUUCAUGCUAGCAGUUGCCUGAUUGGCCUGAGCAAC
rnacentral:lncRNA from 1 species